UCCCCUUCUCUGUCUCCUCCCUUAUCCCUCUCUCUGUCUCCUCCCUUUCCUCUUCCCCUUCUCUGUCUCCUCCCUUAUCCCUCUCUCUGUCUCCUCCCUUUCCUCUUCCCCCUGUCUCUCCACCCUUAUCCCUCUCUCUCCCCUCCCUUCCCCCUCUCCUCUCUUCCCCCUCUCUCUCUCCUCCCUUUCCCCCUGUCUCUCCACCCUUAUCCCUCUCUCUCCCCUCCCUUCCCCCUCUCCUCUCUUCCCCCUCUCUCUCUCCUCCCUUUCCCCUUCUCUCUCUCCUCCCUUAUCCCUCUCUCUCUCUCCCUUAUCCCUCUCUCUCGCCCUCUCUCCUCCCUUCCCUCUCUCUCUCCUCUCUUUCCCCUCACUCACUCUCCCUCCUCCCUUAUCCCUCUCUCUCUCUCCCUUAUCCCUCUCUCUCUUCUCCCUUGUCCCUCGCUCUCGCUCUCCCUCUCCCUUAUCCCCCUCUCUCUCUUCUCCCUUCCCCCUUUCUCUCUCUCUCUCCUCCCUUCCCCCUUUCUCUCCCUCUCCCUUAUCCCCCUCUCUCUCUCCUCCCUUCCCCCUGUCUCUCCACUCUUAUCCCUCUCUCUCCCCUCCCUUCCCCCUCUCCUCUCUUCCCCCUCUCUCUCUCCUCCCUUUCCCCUUCUCUCCCUCCUCCCUUAUCCCUCUCUCUCUCUCCCUUAUCCCUCUCUCACCCUCUCUCCUCCCUUCCCUCUCUCUCUCCUCUCUUUCCCCUCACUCUCUCUCCUCCCUUAUCCCUCUCUCUCUCUCCCUUAUCCCUCGCUCUCUCCUCCCUUAUCCCUCCAUCUCUCUCUCCCUUAUCCCUCUCUCUCUCCUCCCUUCCCCCCCUCUCUCUCCUCCCUUCCCCCCCUCUCUCUUCGCCCUUAUCCCUCUCUCUUUCUCUCCAUUUAACUUCACAAACACACAGUGUGCUAUGCCCGCUCCUGAACAGUGAAUCACAGAGGAAACGUCUGAUCCACAAACCUAUGACAGUCCAAUAUUUACAAAGGCAACAUCUGAAGCCUCUGAAAAAUAUGUGAGGAAAAUGCCAAACUCAAUGCUGC
rnacentral:lncRNA from 8 species